AUUUUCAGUGACAGAGAACCAGAACGCUGAUACUAAAACAAGUCCCACGGACGUGACGGAGAAAAUAAGUCCCACAUGAGUCCUACGUGAGUCCCACAGAACCAGAAUAAGAUUGCAGGGAAACAAGCCUUGUUACAAGGUUUGAGGGUCUCUGCUAGAAUCAUGUGGACCCCAGUGUAACAAAUCUAUGGAAAGAGAGAAAAUCUCAGCUCAAGGGUCAACAUGUCUUUAUUCCAAGAAAGAGUGUACAUAUGCCAGAAUCAUAUGGACCCCAGACUGGCCCUGGUGAUUCCGUUAAGAAAAAAGAGGAAAAAUCAGUGCUUGUGCUCAUUGGUCAUUGGACAAAGGGUGUAUGCCAGAAUUUUUUCAAGAACAGUCUGAAUCUGACAUGGAAAAAAUGAAGAAAAACAGCCUUCCUGUUUAUAAAUCUACAUUCUGACAAAGGAUCAUUUCCUUGAGAUAGGUGGAACCAACAGUCAAAUACAAACACUUUUAAGAAAAGUAAAAAUCUGGCUCAGGUAAGAAAGAAAUUCAGGAGUUCUUAAAUUGCCCUUGGAGUUCUUGGAUUGCAUCAAACUGCUAAAAGACCUCAACAAAAACAGCGUCUUGAAAAUAAAAAUGAAAAUAUUCAGUGAAAAAAAAAUGAUGAAAGAGCCACUAAAAAUCUUCAAGCCUUUGAGCUGAAAUCUGGAAGUCAAUCUGUGGACUUUACUAGUAUGUCUUACUAAGUCAUCAUUUGUGUAUAAUAAAUACACUCAACUGUAAACACUUGUUAAAAUGUGUAUAAUUUUUAGAUAUAAUUUGUAGCUCACAGACUUCAAUAGUUUCAUGUAAUUUAAGUAAUAAUGAAAAUUUCCUGUUGUCUAGCUAGAUUAGAAACUAUUAUUGUCCAAUUUUGGAUAUUGUGAAAUAAUUCAUCUAGUAUGCAUAAUGUGUGUACACUUACGUGUAAAUUAAUUGUUAUAGCAAAUUCAAUCGAUCAUUAAGUUGAAUGUUGACUAAUGUUUUUCAUCAAAAUUGUUUACACUGAAUUGUUUGUGGAUUUUUCCAUUUGCCCAAUCAUGUCAAGGAGCACAUGGCAGGAAAUGCUUUCUCCUCCAUUGCACCUGGUGUUUUUAGAGGUCUGUGUUUGCUCUGCUCUUAAUAUGUAUUGUUUCAAUGGACUUUAAAGCUUGAUCACUGUUGGUAAUCUUCAUAUUUCAUAUACUAUUAGAGUACUUGAAGAAAACUGUAAAGAUUUAACAUACAGUAUAAUGCAUGUAUAUUGCACUUUAAGUACAGUGUAUGUGGUUAAGAAAUGUUAAAUCGUCUCAUAGUGCAUUGAAUUUGUUGAAAAUUAGAAAAUGUGUUGAAAUUUUUUUUGAAAUAAUGUUAGAUUGCAGAUUUUUUGAAAUCAUGCAAGUAAGAAAUUGCUAAAUAUUUUUUUAGCUUUUCUGGACAGUCUAGAUGAGUUCUUACUAUAUACCUAGCAUUGUAUCCCAGUUAAAAUUUAAGGAGCAAGGUUCAUUCCUAAGCUCUACCUGGACAAAC